rnacentral:tRNA from 2 species
GCGGCUGUAGUAUAGUGGUUAGCACGGCUCGUUGUGGCCGAGCAGACGGAUGUUCGAUUCCUCCCAGCCGCA